rnacentral:rRNA from 1 species
CGAUAGUGAACCAGUACCGUGAGGGAAAGGCGAAAAGAACCCCGGCGAGGGGAGUGAAAAAGAACCUGAAACCGUGUACGUACAAGCAGUGGGAGCACCCUUCGGGGUGUGACUGCGUACCUUUUGUAUAAUGGGUCAGCGACUUAUAUUCUGUAGCAAGGUUAACCGUAUAGGGGAGCCGGAGGGAAACCGAGUCUUAAUUGGGCGUUAAGUUGCAGGGUAUAGACCCGAAACCCGGUGAUCUAGCCAUGGGCAGGUUGAAGGUUGGGUAACACUAACUGGAGGACCGAACCGACUAAUGUUGAAAAAUUAGCGGAUGACCUGUGGCUGGGGGUGAAAGGCCAAUCAAACCGGGAGAUAGCUGGUUCUCCCCGAAAGCUAUUUAGGUAGCGCCUCGUGAAUUCAUCUCCGGGGGUAGAGCACUGUUUCGGCUAGGGGGCCAUCCCGGCUUACCAACCCGAUGCAAACUGCGAAUACCGGAGAAUGUUAUCACGGGAGACACACGGCGGGUGCUAACGUCCGUCGUGAAGAGGGAAACAACCCAGACCGCCAGCUAAGGUCCCAAAGUCAUGGUUAAGUGGGAAACGAUGUGGGAAGGCCCAGACAGCCAGGAUGUUGGCUUAGAAGCAGCCAUCAUUUAAAGAAAGCGUAAUAGCUCACUGGUCGAGUCGGCCUGCGCGGAAGAUGUAACGGGGCUAAACCAU